CACGUAUUUAGCCGGAGCUUCUUAGUAAGGUACCGUCAUUUUCUUCCCUUCUGAUAGAGCUUUACAUACCGAAAUACUUCUUCGCUCACGCGGCGUCGCUGCAUCAGGCUUUCGCCCAUUGUGCAAUAUUCCCCACUGCUGCCUCCCGUAGGAGUCUGGGCCGUGUCUCAGUCCCAAUGUGGCCGGUCAGUCUCUCAACUCGGCUACUGAUCUUCGCUUUGGUAGGCUUUUACCCCACCAACCGGCUAAUCAGACGCGGGUCCAUCCUAUACCACCGGAGUUUUUCACACCAUGUCAUGCGACAUUCGUGCGCUUAUGCGGUAUUAUCAGCCGUUUCCGGCUGCUAUCCCCCGGUACAGGGCAGGUUCCCCACGCGUUACUCACCCGUCCGCCACUAAGUAACUACAUCUUCCGUCCGAAAACUUCCGUCGUAGCACUUCGUUCGACUUGCAUGUGUUAAGCACGCCGCCAGCGUUCAUCCUGAGCCAGGAUCAAACUCU
rnacentral:rRNA from 1 species